rnacentral:rRNA from 1 species
GAUGAACGCUGGCGGCGUGCCUAAUACAUGCAAGUCGAGCGAACAGACGAGGAGCUUGCUCCUCUGACGUUAGCGGCGGACGGGUGAGUAACACGUGGAUAACCUACCUAUAAGACUGGGAUAACUUCGGGAAACCGGAGCUAAUACCGGAUAAUAUAUUGAACCGCAUGGUUCAAUAGUGAAAGACGGUUUUGCUGUCACUUAUAGAUGGAUCCGCGCCGCAUUAGCUAGUUGGUAAGGUAACGGCUUACCAAGGCAACGAUGCGUAGCCGACCUGAGAGGGUGAUCGGCCACACUGGAACUGAGACACGGUCCAGACUCCUACGGGAGGCAGCAGUAGGGAAGCUUCCGAAAUGGGCGAAAGCCUGACGGAGCAACGCCGCGUGAGUGAAGAAGGGCUGCGGAUCGUAAAACUCUGUUAUGAGGGAAGAACAAAUGUGUAAGUAACUAUGCACGUCUUGACGGUACCUAAUCAGAAAGCCACGGCUAACUACGU